UUUGUAUUGCUCUUUUUUCUGUGCAUAACUUCUCAAACUUUAAUUUUCCCUGCCCUUUUUGUUAGUGUAAUAGUGGAUUUUUGGCUUUGUUGUAAGACACCACAAGAAAAGUCUAAUCAAAAGUAGUUUUGGUUGACAAAGGUAUGUAUUCCUAUCAUUUUUUUUCUAUUGAAACCUUCAAUUCUUUUUCCUUUUACUACUUAAUAGUGCUUAAAAAGGACAGUUCAUGGAUUAAAGUUUUCGAUAUAUAUAUAUAUAUAUAUAUAUAUGUGAAGUUAAUUAUAUUGAGUUUUAAUAAGGAUUACACCAGAAAGAAUUUAAUUAUAGUUUGAAGAAUCGAAAUAGAAGAAUAUUUUAUGUAGUCUAAUUUUGGUUGUUUCUAUGGCUUGAACUCAAACUUUUUAUCACAUGAUAGCAACGACAAUGGCGACUAGUUUUAAUAGUGUCUUAAUUAUAUUUUGAAGAAUUUGAAGUAGAAGAGUCCCAUUGUAUGUAGUCUUAUUUUGGUUCUUUUUAUGCCUUAAAUUUAAAAUUCAGGAUUUCCUGAUCAUAUGGUAGCAACGACGACUUGUUUUGAUAAUGCUUUAAUUAUAUUUUGAAGAAUCGGAGUAGAAGAGUCUAUUGUAUGUUUUCUUAUAUUAGUUGUUUUUGUGAUUUUAGUUUAGGAUUUUCCAAUCACAUGAUAGCCAUGAAACACUUAUUUUAAUAAUGUAUUUCAGUUUACUCGUCUAAUUUUAACUUACAAAUAAAUUUUAACUUACAAAUAAAUUAAAAUUGAGUGAGUAGUUCUUGCAGCCAAACUAUAAAAGUUAUAGUUUCGCCAAUUGUAGCUUCCAAAGCAAUUUCACAUGUUUUUUUGGUUGAGAUAUAUGUAUAUGAAUUUGAUGAACAUAAAAGAUUAUUAAGAUAUUGUAUCUUAAAUUGAGCAAUGGAUAAUUAAGACUAUUUUCAAUAUAUCAUAAUUUGGAAACUAUUGAAUAUAUAAUUCAAAUGAAAUUAUAAUUUUAUAUAUUUUUUUUUUUACAAGAAAAAAAAUUAGGCAAAUGUUAGUGUCAUGAUUUUGAUAAAAUCGUUGGUUUGAUGGAAAUACACUUAAAAAAAAUAUAGCUGGUGUAGCACUAUAUUUGAUGAUUGAAAUCUGAAUAAUUCAGAUUCAUUUUCAUCAUUUUGAAUAAUUCAGAUAUUUUCAUCUUGUGAAAACAACAAACAAAGAAAUUAUUCAGACCUCGAUUAAGUGAAAAGAUAUUAGAGCUUCAACUUAAUUAACUGUCACUUUGAUAAAUUUAUUUUUGUGGUAAUGCAGGAAUAAUAUUACAGAAUAAGAAGAUGGAUCAUGUACUAGUGAUAUCAUUGCCUUUGGCUAUAUUGGUGUUGAUCUUAUUAGCUCUUGUAUGUUACUUCUUUGGAAGAUCAAGGGGUCGAUGGUGAUUAUAUUUAGUUAUAUUCAAAUGUUUAAUUAUGCCUCCUCCCAAGUUAUUUUUCGAUGAAUGUAACUUUUUCAAUCGGAAAUAACCUUUUUACCUCUAUGAAAGGUAGGGUAAUUUUUACCUACAUUUUGUUCAGGUAGGUGUACGUACAUUUUAUUCAUAUAGUCUUAGGAAGUUUGAGAUAAGGACUUAAUACCCUUAUACUAUAACGAAGUUGCUAUAACAGACUUUGAACUUGUU
rnacentral:lncRNA from 1 species